rnacentral:rRNA from 1 species
ACUCCUUCCCAUCCCGAACAGGACAGUGAAACGACGUUGCGCCGAUGAUAGUGAGCAGAUCGCUUGUGAAAGUAGGUCACCGCCAGGC